rnacentral:rRNA from 1 species
ACCCUUUAAUGUUUGAUGUUCUAACGUGGACCCGUAAUCCGGGUUGCGGACAGUGUCUGGUGGGUAGUUUGACUGGGGCGGUCUCCUCCUAAAGAGUAACGGAGGAGCACGAAGGUUGGCUAAUCCUGGUCGGACAUCAGGAGGUUAGUGCAAUGGCAUAAGCCAGCUUGACUGCGAGCGUGACGGCGCGAGCAGGUGCGAAAGCAGGUCAUAGUGAUCCGGUGGUUCUGAAUGGAAGGGCCAUCGCUCAACGGAUAAAAGGUACUCCGGGGAUAACAGGCUGAUACCGCCCAAGAGUUCAUAUCGACGGCGGUGUUUGGCACCUCGAUGUCGGCUCAUCACAUCCUGGGGCUGAAGUAGGUCCCAAGGGUAUGGCUGUUCGCCAUUUAAAGUGGUACGCGAGCUGGGUUUAGAACGUCGUGAGACAGUUCGGUCCCUAUCUGCCGUGGGCGCUGGAGAACUGAGGGGGGCUGCUCCUAGUACGAGAGGACCGGAGUGGACGCAUCACUGGUGUUCGGGUUGUCAUGCCAAUGGCACUGCCCGGUAGCUAAAUGCGGAAGAGAUAAGUGCUGAAAGCAUCUAAGCACGAAACUUGCCCCGAGAUGAGUUCUCCCUGAGACUUUAGGUCUCCUGAAGGA